GACAGGUUGUAUGUUGUGUGUAAUGUUGUCUGAGUGGGACAGGUUGUAUGAUGUAGUAAUGUUGUCCUGAGUGGGACAGGUUGUAUGAUGUAGUAAUGUUGUCUGAGUGGGA